rnacentral:rRNA from 1 species
AACGGCGAGUGAAGCGGCAAGAGCUCAAAUUUGAAAUCUGGCCUCCUCCGGGGGUCCGAGUUGUAAUUUGCAGAGGAUGCUUCGGGUGCGGCCCCCGUCUAAGUUCCUUGGAAUAGGACGUCAGAGAGGGUGAGAAUCCCGUCUUGGGCGGGCGGCCCGCGCCCGUGUGAAGCUCCUUCGACGAGUCGAGUUGUUUGGGAAUGCAGCUCUAAGCGGGUGGUAAAUUUCAUCUAAAGCUAAAUAUUGGCCGGAGACCGAUAGCGCACAAGUAGAGUGAUCGAAAGGUUAAAAGCACCUUGAAAAGGGAGUUAAACAGCACGUGAAAUUGUUGAAAGGGAAGCGCUUGCGGCCAGACUCGGGGGCGGGGUUCAGCGGGCGCUCGUCGCCCGUGCACUCCCCGCGCCCCGGGCCAGCAUCAGUUUCGACGGUCGGUCAAAGGCCCCCGGAAUGUGUCGUCUCUAGGGACGUCUUAUAGCCGGGGGUGCAAUGCGGCCCGUCGGGACUGAGGAACGCGCUUCGGCUCGGAUGCUGGCGUAAUGGCCGUAAGCGGCCCGUCUUGAAACACGGACCAAGGAGUCUAACAUCCACGCGAGUGUUCGGGUGUCAAACCCGUGCGCGCAGUGAAAGCGAACGGAGGUGGGAGCCUUUGGGCGCACCAUCGACCGAUCCUGAAGUCUUCGGAUGGAUUUGAGUGGGAGCGUGGCCGUUGGGACCCGAAAGAUGGUGAACUAUGCCUGAAUAGGGUGAAGCCAGAGGAAACUCUGGUGGARGCUCGCAGCGGUUCUGACGUGCAAAUCGAUCGUCAAAUUU